GGGCGUGCGUGCCGCCGUUGAUCCGGUGCUGCAGUGAGGAGGUGGUUCUCGCCCGUGUUGUGUGUGUGUGUGUGUGUGUGUGUGUGAGUGAGGGAGCGAGUGAGUGAGUGAGUGAGAGUGUGUGUGUGGGGGCACUCGGCUUCUUGUUGUCGGUGACUUCCCCCUCCCCUUCGCCCCUCCCCCUCCCCGCCGCCGCUGCAGUGGCCGCUCCCUGGGCCGUAGGAAAUGAGCGAUAACGAUGACAUCGAGGUGGAGAGCGACGAAGAGCAACCGAGGUUUCAAUCUGCGGCUGACAAACGGGCUCAUCAUAAUGCACUGGAACGAAAACGAAGGGACCACAUCAAAGACAGCUUUCACAGUUUGCGGGACUCGGUCCCGUCGCUCCAAGGAGAGAAGGCAUCCCGGGCCCAAAUCCUAGACAAAGCCACAGAGUAUAUCCAGUAUAUGCGAAGGAAAAACCACACGCACCAGCAAGAUAUCGAUGACCUCAAGCGGCAGAACGCUCUUCUGGAGCAGCAAGGGGAAAGCGAGAGCUGAUCAAGUUCUUUGUUCCUGGGGAAUUCACUUCUCUUCCUCCCUCAUGGAAGAUGCAAGUAAAAGGAAAUUCCGUGCACUGGAGAAGGCAAGGUCGAGUGCCCAGCUGCAGACCAACUACCCCUCCUCAGACAACAACCUCUACACCAACGCCAAGGGCAGCACCAUCUCUGCCUUCGAUGGGGGCUCAGACUCCAGCUCAGAGUCAGAGCCUGAAGAGCCCCAAAGCAGGAAGAAACUCCGGAUGGAGGCCAGCUAAGCCGAGUGGGGCAGCCAGCAAUAAAAACUGUCUUGUCUCCUCCGUCGUCCCAUCCUCCUCUCAGUUCAUCGUUAGAAGCCCCAGAACCAUUUAAGAGACUCAUUUUUUCUUUUUUUUUUUUUUUAAUUUUUAUUUUUACAUAGAAGCUCUUGGACAAUAGCUCUCGUUCUCUUUCCCCAUUUCCACUUUUUUUUUUUUUUUAAAUGUAUUCCCUUCAGGGAUUCCCUGUCCCCUCCAGGAAUUUUUAAACCAAAAUACCCCAACUUGGCAGCUUUUUCUGUGGAGGACGGACGGACGGCCGGACCUGAGCACAUGGUGUCCUGCCCACCCCACCAGCUCCUCCAGCCCCACUGGGCCCAUGCCUGGAGGAUGCCUGCCCUGCCAGACCUCUCUUGGUCCCCUCACUUCUAUUUGAUAGACUUUGUGAAUCUGUGAACUGCUCUACUUUGAGAAGAUGACCAGGUUGGGAUGAUCAGAAUCACCCCCUCUCCUUUGUGAGGAUUUUUUUCUGGAAAGGUAUUUAUCGCUUCUGUUUAAAGACAAGAUCCUUGAAGAAGUUUGUGGUGUAAAAGGGAAGUGGGGACAGAUUUGCAGAGUCCUUGGCAUGUUUCACUCAAUUCUCCCAACCAGCUGAUUAAAUCUUCAGCACCUGCCUUGUGGAGGACCACAUGACACUUGUGGUAUGUAUAGGAGACAGCAGCAGUGAAGCAGCAGCUACCAGGGAGUGGUAGGGGUGGAUAUUUGGGGGGUGGGACAGGGAGGGAGCCUUGGGCUGGGUAGAGGUUUUGUAUUGAGGGCCAGUGAUAAUGUUUUGAUAUUUAUUUCCUGCUACUGAAAUUUGAAUCUGAGUGAAUUGUCCCUAUUUCUGAUGAUGUCGAUACUGCAAAGCGACAGAUUCAUAAAGUAAUGAUCAAAUCUUCCUUUCUUUUCGUGUGUAUUUCUAAGAAAUAGAUCCAUCUGAUUUUGUAUGUAAAUACCAAGAGCAAUUUACCUGGUACUAAACCUGCACCCCCAUGUGGCCCUUUCCUUAUUCUCCCCACGUCCUCUCCUGUCCUGGAACCUGUCUCCAUUGUGUGAUCCAGCCCUGGUUCUGGCUGUGGUCAACAGAUCCCAGUGAAGGGCUUUGUGUCAUUAGGCCUCAUUUCUUUGUCUUUUUCCUACUCUGUUUCCUGCAUUUGCUGAUUUCUAGUGUAUUCUGUGUAGUCUCAGUCCGUGUUUGAUUCCAUUCCAUGGAAAUAAAAAGUAUGUUGUACAUACUGCCGAAGAAUUGUCUUGCAAGUUAAGGCUUCCCCCUUUACUAUAAGACUAUAAAUAAAAACUUAUUUUAUCCUUCUU